rnacentral:rRNA from 1 species
GGAAGAUGCAUCCACUUGGACUUUGUAGUAAUUGCGAAUGAAUGCAAACCAUGUCUACCACUGUAAAUGUUGCAUAACAUGUGCAAUAAAUUGUAUGAUCAUGGCAUGCUGCUACCAAUAAGCAAAUAGAUAUGUUUUUUUGAAACAGAGCAACAUGGAAUGUGAGAGUCAUGUUUGUUUGCAAAACAUUGUGUACAGUGUGUGUCUUGAAAAUCACAUUCCUUGCCAAUCGAAUGCUAUCAAUCAUGGUAGUGUUCAUGAAGAAGCACAUGCUUCUGAGAUUCUUGAUGUGCAAGUACCAUGAGGGAAAUGUGAAAAGGACUUUGAAAAGAGAUUUAAAUAGAGCCCACAAUUGCUAACCAAUUUGUGCAAGUGAAACUCAAUAUGACAAUGUUGAAUUUUUGAUUAGGAUUCCAUUUGUGAAUGAUGACACUGUUACCAACCAAUAUGGCUGCAGCCUUGUAUAGAACUUCAAUGUGUGUUCAUUGUUCUUGUGUUGGACAUGCUGGCAUGUUUGCAAUUCUGUGGCAAUAUAUAAAUCUUGUCAGUGUGCAUCCUCAAAAUUAACACUGCGCCCAUGCAUUUGUUGUGUUUGAAUUGGUUCAACAGCAUGUGCUUUUGUUGAUCAAUCUUUCA